GAUCUGAGGUGGGGUGAGGAUGAGAGGGAAGAUCUCAAGUGGAAUUUGAAGGUGGAGCCAAUGGGAUUGGAGGAGGGAGGAGCUGAUGGCUUGGAUAUAAGAGGCAGGAGGAAGGGGGUAGGGCGGGAGGACCGCUCCAAAGCUUCAGGUGUACACAACCAGAAGAAUGGACUUCUCCAAUGUUGAGCCCGGGGCACUGGAGGUGGAGUCUUUUUUUUCAGACUGCUAGCAAGCUCUGCCUCUCUGGAGGGAGGCAGAGUGGAAAUGCCCCGCAGCUCUGGCUCCUGGGCGGCUCACGGCAGGCACAGGUGAGGCCUGGGAUCUGGACGGCUGGCGAUGGUGUGGUGGAGGAGAGCCCUGGGUGCAGGCUUAUAUUCCAGCUGCAGGAUGGAAAUCAGGUGAUGACUGUUUGAAAACACUUCAAAACUUGUCAACCAGGGGUUGCUCGAGAAGCAUGACGUGGACAUGUGCAUUCGAGUAUCCUUUGCAUGGAGCAGCAGGCAGAGUGGGGGAUGGCAGGUUUCUAACUGGUCUUCACGUGAGGAAACCAGAGGAGGCCUCUGCCCCUGGAGCUGGACCAUUUGCUGGGGCCCUGGCUAGGCUAUCCGAGGGGGAUAGUAAAGGCCGCAGGGCCCUCUGAAGACAGCAGGGCCUUGCACAAGGAAGUCCAGCCGUUCAGUGGGUGCACAGACAGGAUGACGGCAGCUUACGGUGCCUGAGGAAUCACGUGCCAGGGACUCGUAAGAUUAACUGAGGAAGCCAGGGCAAUGGACAGCCUCUCCUCUCCUGGGAGAGCAGACAUUCUGAAUGACACUGAUAGGCCCCUUUCUGUCUGAGAGUGAGAGAGAUGAAGCCCAUACCGAGAGUCAGAGUGUUGGCCCCUUCCCCUCUUCCCAGUCCGUAGGAACACACAUCUGAAAUAUGUGGAAAUUUUCAGGGCGCCUGGCUGGUUCAGUGGGCAGGACAUGUGACCCGGGAUCUCGGGGUGGUGAGUUCAAGCCCCAUGUUGGACAUGGAGCCUACUUAAAAAAAAGGAAUAAUUUAAAAAUAUAAUAAUACAUACAUACAUGCACAAGUGGAAACUUUGUCCUGUGGGCAGAAGAAUGUGGGAGUUAUAGUCAGACAGACCUGCAAAAGCUCUACCACUUGUCAACUGGUUAUUUCAUACCUCUGAGGCUCAGUUUCUCCCACUCUAUAAUGGGGAUGGGUACCCACUUCACAGGAUGGGGACAGAAUGGGAUAAAUGUGUGUACAAGGUGUGAGACAUCCGGGGCUGGUUUGCCAUAGCUGGUGGGGCUGGAAGGCAAGGGCAGUGAAAGUCCCCCACGCCAGGCUGACAUGGGAUGAUGUUACCUUUAGGGGUGACAGAGGUUUUUCCCUGGGCCGCAGUGUGACUUAGAUCCCUCAUAUGGCAGGGAAGGCCCCAAAGAAGGCCAGGUCUGAGACUCACCUGUCUGUGCAAUGGUUUAGUGAGUGGUGUGCCCAGCCGGGGUGAUCACUGCCUUGCUCGGGUUGGUUGCUCAGCAAGACAAAGCGGAUGACAGAAGCUUCUCCUCUUUGUGGCAGUACCAAAACUCUUUUUGAUCCCAAAUGAUGUAAAUUGCAGGAUCCCCGGAGGCAAAGACCCUUCAGGAAGGGUUUGCAUCUCCCUUAUCCCUUAUCAUACCAGACACACUGUCCAGGUAAGAGCCCCCUUGCUCCCGUCUUCAGCCCAAAUGCUGGCUUCUGCAGUUUUAUGAGCCAUCCUCACUCCAGGGGUAGGAUCUCCUAUUUGGUGUGUGUGUGUGGCGGGGGGGGGGGGGGGGGGGGGGGGGGGGGGGGGGGGGGGGGGGGGACAGCUGAGAUGUGGCUCAGGACCCAGCCAAGUGACUGUGCCAGGGAAGGAAGCCUUGCUAACCGUCUUUAUUAUCUUCCUGGGAGCAGGACCUGAGCUCCCAAGGUGACACUCCAUUUCAGCACUCCUUACUGGACACUGAAGAAACUGUUUCUUCCCGUUCUUGAAACAAGAAAGGUAGGCAAGAAUAAUUUCUCAACAAAGUGUGGUUUUAAGCAGAGGAUUCAUGAACAUAUGUUCUCCUCCCUUGUUGCAGAUAGGCGACCUUUCUCUAGGAGGGGACUAAGAG
rnacentral:lncRNA from 1 species